UACAGAGGGGGCAAGCGUUAUUCGGAAUUAUUGGGCGUAAAGGGCGCGUAGGCGGCCUGACAAGUGGAAGGUGAAAUCCCUCGGCUUAACCGAGGAACUGCCCUCCAAACUGUCUGGCUUGAGACCGGGAGAGGAGAGUGGAAUUCCCAGUGUAGCGGUGAAAUGCGUAGAUAUUGGGAGGAACACCAGUGGCGAAGGCGGCUCACUGGACCGGUACUGACGCUGAGGCGCGAAAGCGUGGGGAGCAAACAGG
rnacentral:rRNA from 1 species